GUAAGUGACCCAGUUGAGCG
rnacentral:miRNA from 1 species